CAGGUUUAGCUGGAGGAGCCUUUUCCUUUUUACUCAGGUAUUCCUUGAGUUGCUCGGCUCUGUCCAGGUAGUCAGCACACUUGGCCCUUAUGCUCUGUUUGGCCCGAUCACCCUGAGCCUCAUCUGCAACACACUUUGCCAUCUAGCAAACAUCAAACUGCAUCCUGUAAUCAGGAACUCCGGCUAAAUCCUUUCCAUCACCUGCAUAGGGCCUGGGUCACAUCCUGGGGUCUUCACCUUAUAGCUAAACGUCGUGAGCCUCAGAGCAGCUAAAGCUCCAUGAAGAAUCCUUCAUUACGUAUUUAUGUUCAGUCUGUUUAGAUGCUAAAGUUUUAGGUGUUGUUUCAUCCGAACAUAUUAAAGAAAGACUAUUACAGCCAAGCCCAGCUAUGUAGUUGAUACACAAAGUCCCAGUAAAUGGUUUAAAAUAGUAAUAACGCCUAAUUAAAAAACCUCGAAAUCAUCUUUACACAUUUAUGUGUGGAUAAUUAAACCUACGCACUUCCAGUUGCAUAAAAUGACGGCCAGCUGAUUAAAAAGGCCAUUGUGUUAGUAUGUUGUGAUGACACCCAGUCUAUUCAGCUUAUUAAAAGUUCCUCACUCACCUGUAAAUUACCGCCAGCCAUCAGGUUGAACUUCAGACUAUGUCGCUGUAAUAAAACUGUGAAGACUU